CAUGCAGUCGAGCGGUAGCACAGAGAGCUUGCUCUCGGGUGACGAGCGGCGGACGGGUGAGUAAUGUCUGGGAAACUGCCUGAUGGAGGGGGAUAACUACUGGAAACGGUAGCUAAUACCGCAUAACGUCGCAAGACCAAAGUGGGGGACCUUCGGGCCUCAUGCCAUCAGAUGUGCCCAGAUGGGAUUAGCUAGUAGGUGGGGUAACGGCUCACCUAGGCGACGAUCCCUAGCUGGUCUGAGAGGAUGACCAGCCACACUGGAACUGAGACACGGUCCAGACUCCUACGGGAGGCAGCAGUGGGGAAUAUUGCACAAUGGGCGCAAGCCUGAUGCAGCCAUGCCGCGUGUGUGAAGAAGGCCUUCGGGUUGUAAAGCACUUUCAGCGGGGAGGAAGGCGGUGAGGUUAAUAACCUCAUCGAUUGACGUUACCCGCAGAAGAAGCACCGGCUAACUCCGUGCCAGCAGCCGCGGUAAUACGGAGGGUGCAAGCGUUAAUCGGAAUUACUGGGCGUAAAGCGCACGCAGGCGGUCUGUCAAGUCGGAUGUGAAAUCCCCGGGCUCAACCUGGGAACUGCAUUCGAAACUGGCAGGCUAGAGUCUUGUAGAGGGGGGUAGAAUUCCAGGUGUAGCGGUGAAAUGCGUAGAGAUCUGGAGGAAUACCGGUGGCGAAGGCGGCCCCCUGGACAAAGACUGACGCUCAGGUGCGAAAGCGUGGGGAGCAAACAGGAUUAGAUACCCUGGUAGUCCACGCCGUAAACGAUGUCGAUUUGGAGGUUGUGCCCUUGAGGCGUGGCUUCCGGAGCUAACGCGUUAAAUCGACCGCCUGGGGAGUACGGCCGCAAGGUUAAAACUCAAAUGAAUUGACGGGGGCCCGCACAAGCGGUGGAGCAUGUGGUUUAAUUCGAUGCAACGCGAAGAACCUUACCUGGUCUUGACAUCCACAGAACUUUCCAGAGAUGGAUUGGUGCCUUCGGGAACUGUGAGACAGGUGCUGCAUGGCUGUCGUCAGCUCGUGUUGUGAAAUGUUGGGUUAAGUCCCGCAACGAGCGCAACCCUUAUCCUUUGUUGCCAGCGGUCCGGCCGGGAACUCAAAGGAGACUGCCAGUGAUAAACUGGAGGAAGGUGGGGAUGACGUCAAGUCAUCAUGGCCCUUACGACCAGGGCUACACACGUGCUACAAUGGCAUAUACAAAGAGAAGCGACCUCGCGAGAGCAAGCGGACCUCAUAAAGUAUGUCGUAGUCCGGAUUGGAGUCUGCAACUCGACUCCAUGAAGUCGGAAUCGCUAGUAAUCGUAGAUCAGAAUGCUACGGUGAAUACGUUCCCGGGCCUUGUACACACCGCCCGUCACACCAUGGGAGUGGGUUGCAAAAGAAGUAGGUAGCUUAACCUUCGGGAGGGCGCUUACCACUUUGUGAUUCAUGA
rnacentral:rRNA from 1 species